ACGCGCAUGUUGACUAGGGCUCUUAAUAAGCAAUUCCUGGGGACAAGUUAAGUGCCAGGGCCUGAGCCAGUCUCUGCAAGGAGGCCUAACAAAUCAGGCCCAGGCCAUGCUCCCAGGAAGGGGGAGAGGGACACUUAGUCAGCUCUAUUCCUGGGCCCCAGAAAGGCCAACCAAGAAGGCAGUGUUGUCUUCAAGGUGGGUAAAGGUGUGGAUGGAAGAGGAACAACAGAGGAGACACAGCAGGAGCAAAACAAGGAGAGCAUGUUGCUUCCUCCCAGCCCCUGGCAGUGAGACUUGCUCCUGAGGUGGGAGAGACCCCAGGCGGUGCACGGUGUGCUCAGGACUCUGUGGAGGGAUCCUCCCUGCUAUAAGGAACAGAAGAGCCUACAACCGGCUUUGACAGUCGGGACCUCCACAUCACAUUACAAAAGUUGGGUGUAGGAAGAUUCUUUACCAUCUGAGCCACGAGGAAGUCCAAAAGGAGCAAGAGAAAUACUUUAAUAUCAAGCAAACAUGCAGGAUGCUGAAUUGGGCAAAGCGCAAGAAGGCAACACAUAAAAUACAUGUGCACGUGGCAAGGUGUCCGUGCCUUCAUGUCCCCAGGGCUGGUGAGAGAGAGAGGGUCAUCUUUCUGGAGGGGACACAUCAGCUGAGCACAGGUGAGGACACAGAGAGGCAACAGAGUUCAGGAACACGCCAGGGAUGUGGUGGGGCACGGCCAGCUGCAGGGUCGGCGAGUGGAUCCCACGUGGCGGUCGAGGGAUGUCACCAUUUCACAGAAGGGCCCUGGAGUAGGGCUUGGCAACCUCACCGCUAGAGCACGACUGCUUUGUUUGCUUUGUGAUACUGUUUUUGUUUAGUCACUCAGUCACGUCUGAUUCUUUUUCGAUCCUAUGGACUGUAGCCCACCAGGUUCCUCUGUCCAUGGGAUUUCUCAGGCAAGAACAUUGGAGUAGGUCGCCACUUCCUUCUCUAGGGGGAUCUUCCCAACC
ensembl:lncRNA